CUCAUGGGCGCCCGGACUGGGGCUGAUGUAGUUUCCCGACCUCUGACACAUAGGAUCUGGAGAUUAAAGCUGCUCUGCUAAUAAUUAGGUUCCCACCUCUCAAGAUCAUUAGGAGCUUCUUUUCCAAUUCCUCUGUUUUGCAUGCAUUGGAAGAGCAAAUACCUACCAGAAUGGAUAACUUGAGAGAUGUGGAAAGUGAGUUUCUUUGCGCUUAUCUAGUGAGGGUGAUUUUUAGUCAAUAAGCAUUUGGUAUAUGCCUGGGAAUCCAACAGCUGCUAUUUAGAUUCAGAGCCAGCCUUUAUUUAUCAGCUUUCUGAUGCUGAACCCAUCAGUGAACUUCUCUGUAUAUUUGAUUCAUCAUAAGGAAAAUGGUGACGCCGAGGGUGACUGAUUUCCAGGUUUACAUCGGUUGCCCCAGGGGAAGUGCCUGGCCCCCAUCUGGUCCUUGCUGCUCUAACUUUGCCCUGUUAAUUGAAGAAAUGCAGGAUCUGGAGCUCAGGACCCACUACCUCCCCGGCCCACUGCAAGCUUGAACAUUUGAUGGUGGACACCCCUCCCUGACUUUGUAUUAUGUGUCACUGGUGUGGGGGUUACCUUCCCACUAUGUCUCCCAGAAGACAUGAGGGCACAGACUACAGUGCCUGUGGACAGAGGAGCUGUGGGGAUGGAAGUGUGAUUGCUUCAUUCAAAUGCACGCCCCGGUGCGUGUGCGUCUCUUCUGAUGCAGCUCCCCAUGGGCCCCUGGAUCCUCCUGGAAUCCCUGAUCCCUGUUGCUCCCUGGCGGAGUUUUCUAGUCCCUCUUACUUGAAGCAUGUCUUUCAGAGCCCGGCACCACCCAAGUUGGGUAUCUGCUACACCUCUAUGGUAUUUUUUUCACCUCAUAUCAUACCUUCCUCCCUCACUGGACUUCAGUGUGGGACCUGCAGGUCUCAGGCCUUCUGGGAAGUCCCAGCUUUUCUUGAAUGUUCUCUCUCUCUGGCCAGCUCAGGCUGGAGCAGUGGGUGUUGGUGCCAUCCUGUGGCUAUAGGUGAUAAGCCGGCUGUUCUUCACUGACCUGGUCUUACCUUGAACCCUGGAGUUCUCACAUGCAUGGAUUUAAAUGCUGUGUCUUUCUAAGGGCACAUUAUGGCCAUUUUCCUUAUCUCCCUCCCAAGGGGCUGUUUCCUGUAUU
rnacentral:lncRNA from 1 species